UGUGCCCCUUCCCACUCGUAUUGUCAUUUUGCCUUUUCUUUUCCCUUCCCUUCCCUCAAACUCUCUCUCUCUAGAACUUAGUGUCAGCUUUUAUGCUGCUGCCGUGGGGAGCAAGAGGCGACCUGCGCAUGACGGACUAGGAGUGAAACUGCCAUGGGGAGCAAGAGACGGCCUGCGUGGGGAGGUCUAGGAGCGUCGUGACCACAAUAAAAUCACUCAAAGCAUGAAUUGGGGACUUUCCAAGACCGGGCCACAGGGAGGAAGAUUGGUGAAGGAAGACUGUCUUAUGGGCUACACUUAUUCAAUCAGGAGAAUAAUUGCCAGUCAAGAGAAUUCUGAUACUUACAAAUUGUGGCAUUGGAGAUUUGGACAUCCUUUAGAUAAAGGAGGUCCACUACUACCUAUUGUACAUUGGUUGGAGGAAAUUUAGUUACUUGAAAAAGCAAGAACAACAUGUAGUUACUCAAUCCAGUGCAGAGGUUGAAUAUAAAGCUAUGGCUUCAACUACAAGUGAAUUGAUGUGGCUAAAAUACCUACUUCGAGAUAUGAGACUCCCAACAGUCAAUCCAAUGGAAAUAUUCUAUGAUAAUCAAGCAGCUAUGCAUGUAGCCUCCAAUCCAGUCUUUCAUGAAAGAACUAAGCACAUAGAAGUUUAUUGUCACUUUGUGAGAGAAAAUGUUCAGUAAAAAUUAUUAGUUCUCCGUAUAUUCAAAGUGAAGACCAACUUGUAGACAUGUUUAAUAAAGCUAUUGCAAAUACAAAGUUCCAUCAGAUAUUGUUCAAGUUGGGCACUAUUGAUAUCUACGCUCCAACUUGAGGGGGAGUAUUGACAGUUAUAGAAACCAUAUAUUGUGUUUCCUAUCUCAUAUAUUACACGAUAUAUUAAGU